GUUAGCUAAGAAAAUCAGAAGGUGUCAUGCAAAACUGCAGGAUGUGAUGACUCCUUUUGUAUCACUCAAUCCACUUUCAACUUGCUUUUACUGAAGCUACCACCACUUCAACCCAGCACUGGAGGCAUCCGUUGUCUUCUAAAAAAAAAAAAAAAAGGUAGGCUUACAGGACAUUUAUUGUGGAAGUCAAUGUUGUGUUGAUAAUUGUUUAAAUGUGUUACUUAAUGUGGUUAAAAGAUUUAACCUUUAAUACCCAAAGUAUUAAAGGUUAAUACAGAAAGUAAAAUGAGCAUCCUCGUCUUUAGACUUGUGAAUCAGCAGUGUUUUUAAGCAGGAAGCUAAAAGAGGAUGUGGACAUGAUGAUAAACAGAAAAAAAAGCAAUAGUUUAUUUCUGUUCUUACAGAUAAACAAACUGAAAUGUACAUUUAAAAGCUGCCGGUCAUCAGCACGGCCUCAGAUAGUCAGUCUGAACUGUAUCGUUGGCAGUGCAGGAGGCGGACUUCCUCUCAAGAAAAGAGUCCCUAGAGAUUGUUGACAGGCCCAUUUGAUUCACUGCGUGCUCAUCUAAAUACCAAAAAUAACACUGCAGUAAGACUUAGUCAACACACAAAAAGAGGAAGUGGUGAAUAGUCUUCUUUCCGAUCCCCAGCUCUGUAUACUGAAAAGCAGCGGCUCAGAUGUCCUCUUGUUGGUGGCUUUAGUGAUCUUUGUGUCUUUCUGAUCUCUGGCGGCGUCCAGCAGAGUGUCUUCAUGGAUCCUCUGCGCAAGCUCUUAUUACUGCUGAUAAUCGGGAUCAUUUUCGUGUCAGGGGUGAUCGGCAUCAUCUUCUUCAUCAUCAACAAGUGCUUAUUUAGACGAGGCAAACACAGAAUCUCACAACUCCAGAAAGGAUCCAGCUUCAACACUGAGAGCAACAAAUAUUACAUAAAAGACUCAGAAGCCGCCGUUCCUCCUCUACCUCCUCGGACUCAGUUCCUCACAGCAGAGGCCCAAAGCUACGAGAAUCUGGCAGAGGCCGACUACGAGCAGAGCAUCCACGACUACCAGCAGGACGUCCCUGACUACGUGCAGAGCAUCGACGACUACCAGCAGGACGUCCACGACUACGAGAAGGACGUCCCUGACUACGUGCAGGAUGCCCACGACUAUGAGCAGGACGUCCACGACUACGAGCAGGACGUCCACGACUACGAGCAGGACGUCCACGACUACGAGCAGGACGUCCACGACUACGAGCAGGACGUCCCUGACUACGUGCAGAGCAUCGACGACCCUGAGCAGGAUGUCCACGACUACGAGGAGGCCGCCGACCAGCAGCCUGACUAUGUGGCAGUGGAGGAUGAGACCUUCCCUCCUCUUCUUCCUUACAAUCAUUCAGAUCCAAACAUGAUUCUGGCCCAGAGCUAUGAGAACCUGGCAGAGGAAGCCGACUACUUGCAGGCCCUGGAUGAGCAGCCCGACUAUGUGAGGGCGGAUGAUGAGGUGGAUGUCUUUCCUCCUCCUCCUCCAGCAGAAGAUCCAGCAGCAGACGGCAGUGCCUCAGAGGACUACGAUGACAUCGGAGUGGAAACCCAGGACGAAGAGGACUACGAUGACGUAGCAUAAGAACACAGGACAAGCAGAAUCCUGCUGAGCAGAGAUUUUAUAUAAUAACUGAGACAAGUUAAGGGGUUUCUUCCUCUUUCUCUAUAGUCAUUUUUUAGAGUAUUUUUCUGAUUUAAAAGAGAAUGAAUAUUUUUUAGAUUGUUGUAAUUCUUAUGUGAAAAUACAUCCAUGUUCUCAAACUCAACAUGUCACACCUGGACCACCACAGGGAUUUGCUUUAAAUGUAGUUUUUACUUGCUGUUUGAUGUCAUUUUAACUUCAUCUUUUGUUGGGUUUAAGCACAGAUACGGCUCAGCCAGGUUUAGGGAACCAUCCUAGUUUGGGUCUCGGUCAUGCUUUGCUGCCUGGAAGCAGCACCUCUCUCCUGGUGUUUACCCCUGAUGCUAUAGCUACCAUCAGAAUAUACAGACCAAACAUCCAUUUGUGACAAGUCAGUCACACAUGAUCUGACAUCCCCAGGACUUUAGGAAAAAUAACUUUUAUACAGGUUUUCUUGUGGUUUAGAUGGCAGAGGGCGGCCAUACCUGUCAUACAAGUGUACAUGUUAAAAGUCCUUCCAUCAGCUGCACAAAACGUUCUUUAUGUGUGUAUUUAAAGCCUGAUAUUUCCCAUUCAUCAGAGCCAUGAAGCACCACUGUUGAUACACAAAUAAUCCUCAGGACUCAGUUGGUGGGGCCAUUUUGUGAACAGUAAAACCUGUUUGAGAUCUGGAGUGGAGGGACGUUCUGACCGUGCCUCUCUCUCUCUCUCCACGGUGUGGCUCCACAUCACCCCCUGUGUGCCUGCGUUGGCUUUACACCUGCUGGACUCAGAUUAACGUGUUCGUGCCUGAGCUGUAGAAUAUUUGCUGCUUCUUCCCCUUCACACCCUGCAUGCUUCACAUAUUUGUUAGCGUUUCUUUUCAUUAACUCCUGAUCAGAUCUGCUUUAACCCUUUCUUUCACUGAGACCACUUUCAAGACCGGAACACUACAUAAUACUUAAAAACAACCAUUCCUGUU
ensembl:lncRNA uncharacterized LOC114446023